GGGUACUCGAGUGGCGAACGGGUGAGUAACACGUGAGUAACCUGCCCUUGACUUCGGGAUAACUUCAGGAAACUGGGGCUAAUACCGGAUAGGAAUCCUUGCUGCAUGGUGGGGGUUGGAAAGCUUCGGCGGUUUUGGAUGGACUCGCGGCUUAUCAGCUUGUUGGUGGGGUAGUGGCUUACCAAGGCUUUGACGGGUAGCCGGCCUGAGAGGGCGACCGGCCACAUUGGGACUGAGAUACGACCCAG
rnacentral:rRNA from 1 species